rnacentral:tRNA from 1 species
GCACCAGUAGUGUAGUGGUAGAAUAGUACCCUGCCACAGUAUAGACCCGGGUUCGAUUCUUGACUGGUGCA